rnacentral:rRNA from 1 species
UACAGAGGGGGCAAGCGUUGUUCGGAAUUACUGGGCGUAAAGGGCGCGUAGGCGGCCUUCUAAGUCGAACGUGAAAUCCCCGGGCUCAACCCGGGAGCUGCGUCCGAUACUGGAAGGCUUGAAUCCGGGAGAGGGAUGCGGAAUUCCAGGUGUAGCGGUGAAAUGCGUAGAUAUCUGGAGGAACACCGGUGGCGAAGGCGGCAUCCUGGACCGGCAUUGACGCUGAGGCGCGAAAGCCAGGGGAGCAAACGGG